UAAAUACCGGCCAGAGACNGAUAGCGCACAAGUAGAGUGAUCGAAAGAUGAAAAGCACUUUGGAAAGAGAGUUAAAAAGCAUGUGAAAUUGUUGAAAGGGAAGCGCANGCAACCAGACUUGGUCCUAGGUGUUCACCUGGCGUUCUUCGCCAGGGCAUUCGCCUAGGUUCAGGCCAGCAUCGGUUUGGGCGNUUGGAUAAAGGCCUCUGGAAUGUGGCUCUCCUUCGGGGGAGUGUUAUAGCCWGAGGUGCCAUACAGCCUGCCUGGACCGAGGAACGCGCUUCGGCACGGAUGCUGGCGUAAUGGUUGUCUGCGGCCCGUCUUGAAACACGGACCAAGGAGUCUAACAUCUAUGCGAGUGUUUGGGUGUCAAGCCCACACGCGGAANGAAAGUGAACGGAGGUGGGNGCCCUCGGGCGCACCAUCGACCGAUCCUGAUGUCUUCGGAUGGAUUUGAGUAAGAGCAUAGCUGUUGGGACCCGAAAGAUGGUGAACUUUGCGUGGGUAGGGUGAAGCCAGAGGAAACUCUGGUGGAGGCUCGCAGCGRUUCUGACGUGCAAAUCGAUCGU
rnacentral:rRNA from 1 species